rnacentral:rRNA from 1 species
AUUGAACGCUGGCGGCAUGCCUUACACAUGCAAGUCGAACGGUAACAGGUCUUCGGAUGCUGACGAGUGGCGAACGGGUGAGUAAUACAUCGGAACGUGCCUAGUAGUGGGGGAUAACUACUCGAAAGAGUGGCUAAUACCGCAUGAGAUCUACGGAUGAAAGCAGGGGAUCGCAAGACCUUGUGCUACUAAAGCGGCCGAUGGCAGAUUAGGUAGUUGGUGGGAUAAAAGCUUACCAAGCCGACGAUCUGUAGCUGGUCUGAGAGGACGAUCAGCCACACUGGGACUGAGACACGGCCCAGACUCCUACGGGAGGCAGCAGUGGGGAAUUUUGGACAAUGGGCGAAAGCCUGAUCCAGCAAUGCCGCGUGCAGGAUGAAGGCCUUCAGGUUGUAAACUGCUUUUGUACGGAACGAAAAGCUCUGGGUUAAUACCCUGGGGUCAUGACGGUACCGUAAGAAUAAGCACCGGCUAACUACGUGCCAGCCGCCGCAGUAAAAC